UACGUAGGGUGCGAGCGUUAAUCGGAAUUACUGGGCGUAAAGCGUGCGCAGGCGGUUUUGUAAGCCAGAUGUGAAAGCCCCGGGCUUAACCUGGGAAUGGCAUUUGGGACUGCAAGGCUUGAGUGCGGCAGAGGAGACUGGAAUUCCUGGUGUAGCAGUGAAAUGCGUAGAUAUCAGGAGGAACACCGAUGGCGAAGGCAGGUCUCUGGGCCGAUACUGACGCUGAGGAGCGAAAGCGUGGGGAGCAAACGGG
rnacentral:rRNA from 1 species